rnacentral:rRNA from 1 species
UACGGCUACCUUGUUACGACUUCAUCCCAGUUACCAAUCCCACCUUAGGCAGCUCCUUCCCAAUAAAGGGUUAGGCCACUGACUUCGGGUGUUACCGACUUCCGUGAUGUGACGGGCGGUGUGUACAAGCCCCGAGAACGUAUUCACCGUGGCAUAGCUGAUCCACGAUUACUAGCGACUCCGGCUUCAUGAAGUCGAGUUGCAGACUUCAAUCCGAACUGGGGACGGCUUUGAGGGAUUGGCUGACUCUUGCGAGAUCGCGGCCCACUGUACCGCCCAUUGUAGCAUGCGUGCAGCCCUGGAUAUAAGGGGCAUGAUGACUUGACAUCGUCCUCGCCUUCCUCCGAGUUGUCCCCGGCAGUCUCCCAUGAGUCCCCACCAUUACGUGCUGGCAACAUAGGACGAGGGUUGCGCUCGUUGCGGGACUUAACCCAACAUCUCACGACACGAGCUGACGACAGCCAUGCACCACCUGUGAUGAGCGCCUAAGCACACUGUGUUUCCACAGCUAGACCCACCAUGUCAAACCCAGGUAAGGUUCUUCGGGUUGCAUCGAAUUAAGCCGCAUGCUCCGCCGCUUGUGCGGGGCCCCGUCAAUUCCUUUGAGUUUUAGCCUUGCGGCCGUACUCCCCAGGCGGAACACUUAAUGCGUUAGCUACGGCGCAGCAGACGUGAAUCAGUCCGCCACACCUAGUGUUC